GGGGGUGUGGCUCAGUGGUAGAGCACUUGCCUGUCCAAAAAACCUGGGUCCAAUUCCCAGUACACACA
rnacentral:tRNA from 1 species